rnacentral:rRNA from 1 species
GAUGAACGCUAGCUACAGGCUUAACACAUGCAAGUCGCGGGGCAGCAUGGGGGUUGCUUGCAAUCCCCGAUGGCGACCGGCGCACGGGUGAGUAACGCGUAUCCAACCUGCCCUUCACCACGGGAUAACCCGGCGAAAGUCGGACUAAUACCGUAUGUUGUCCAUUGACGGCAUCCGAUUUGGACGAAAGGUUUGGCGGUGAAGGAUGGGGAUGCGUCCGAUUAGCUGGACGGCGGGGUGACGGCCCACCGUGGCGACGAUCGGUAGGGGUUCUGAGAGGAAGGUCCCCCACACUGGAACUGAGACACGGUCCAGUCUCCUACGGGAGGCAGCAGUGAGGAAUAUUGGUCAAUGGGCGUAAGCCUGAACCAGCCAAGUAGCGUGCAGGAUGACGGCCCUAUGGGUUGUAAACUGCUUUUAUGCGGGGAUAAAGUGGCCCACGUGUGGGUUUUUGCAGGUACCGCAUGAAUAAGGACCGGCUAAUUCCGUG